rnacentral:rRNA from 1 species
UACGUAGGGUGCGAGCGUUAAUCGGAAUUACUGGGCGUAAAGCGUGCGCAGGCGGUUUUGUAAGCCCGAUGUGAAAUCCCCGGGCUUAACCUGGGAAUGGCAUUUGGGACUGCAAGGCUUGAGUUUGGCAGAGGAGACUGGAAUUCCUGGUGUAGCAGUGAAAUGCGUAGAUAUCAGGAGGAACACCGAUGGCGAAGGCAGGUCUCUGGGCCACUACUGACGCUGAGAAGCGAAAGCAUGGGGAGCGAACAGG